UGCUUAACACAUGCAAGUCGAACGAAGUCUUCGGACUUAGUGGCGCACGGGUGAGUAACAUGUGGGAAUCUACCUAGAGGUUCGGAACAACUAUGGGAAACUGUAGCUAAUACCGGAUGUGUCUGUAAAGAGAAAGAUUUAUCGCCUUUAGAUGAGCCCGCACUAGAUUAGUUUGUUGGUGAGGUAACUGCUCCACCAAGACUACGAUCUAUAGCUGAUUUGAGAGGAUGAUCAGCCACACUGGGACUGAGACACGGCCCAGACUCCUACGGGAGGCAGCAGUGGGGAAUAUUGGACAAUGGGGGAAACCCUGAUCCAGCAAUGCCGCGUGAGUGAAGAAGGCCCUCGGGUUGUAAAACUCUUUCAUCAAUGAAGAUAAUGACAUUAAUUGAAGAAGAAGCUCCGGCUAACUCCGUGCCAGCAGCCGCGGUAAUACGGAGGGGGCUAGCGUUGUUCGGAAUUACUGGGCGUAAAGCGUAUGUAGGCGGAUCGAAAAGUUAGAUGUGAAAUCCCUGAGCUUAACUCAGGAACUGCAUUUAAAACUAGAGAUCUAGAAUUUGGCAGAGGAUAGUAGAAUUUCCAGUGUAGAGGUGAAAUUCGUAGAUAUUGGAAAGAAUACCAGUGGCGAAGGCGACUAUCUGGACCAUUUUUGACGCUGAGAUACGAAAGCGUGGGUAGCAAACAGGAUUAGAUACCCUGGUAGUCCACGCAGUAAACGAUGAGUGCUAGUCGCUGGACCAAUAGGUUCGGUGUCGUAGCUAACGCAUUAAGCACUCCGCCU
rnacentral:rRNA from 1 species